rnacentral:tRNA from 1 species
GUCUCAUUAGCUCAGCUGGAUAGAGCGAUCCCCUCCUAAGGGAUAGGUCAGAGGUUCGAAUCCUCUAUGGGACGCCA